GGAAAAAUGUGUUACAUCGGUAAUUUUAUGCAAAUCACCGGGUGAGACAUUUUGCAU
rnacentral:pre_miRNA from 1 species